GACGAACGCUGGCGGCGUGCUUAACACAUGCAAGUCGAACGGAAAGGCCCCUUUGGGGGUACUCGAGUGGCGAACGGGUGAGUAACACGUGAGUAACCUGCCCUUGACUUCGGGAUAACUUCAGGAAACUGGGGCUAAUACCGGAUAGGAAUCCUUGCUGCAUGGUGGGGGUUGGAAAGCUUCGGCGGUUUUGGAUGGACUCGCGGCGUAUCAGCUUGUUGGUGGGGUAGUGGCUUACGAAGGCUUUGACGGGUAGCCGGCCUGAGAGGGCGACCGGCCACAUUGGGACUGAGAUACGGCCCAGACUCCUACGGGAGGCAGCAGUGGGGAAUAUUGCACAAUGGGCGGACGCCUGAUGCAGCAACGCCGCGUGCGGGAUGACGGCCUUCGGGUUGUAAACCGCUUUCAGCAGGGGCGAAGCUUGUGGUGACGGUACCUGCAGAAGAAGCACCGGCUAACUACGUG
rnacentral:rRNA from 1 species